CUUCCUCGAUCUGCUGCGGGCAGAUGAAGUGGAUAUGAACGUCGAGCGCGCCGGCGGUGAGGAUCCUGCCCUCGCCGGCGAUCACCUCGGUGCCCGGGCCGACGACGAUAUCAACGCCGGGCUGGACAUCCGGAUUGCCGGCCUUGCCGAUCCCGACGAUACGGCCGUCCUUCAGACCCACAUCGGCCUUGACGAUGCCCCAGUGGUCGACGAUCAGCGCGUUGGUGAUGACCGUAUCGACGGCACCGGCGGUUCUGGGGGCCUGGGACUGGCCCAUGCCGUCGCGGAU
rnacentral:sRNA from 1 species